rnacentral:rRNA from 1 species
UUGGAGGGCAAGUCUGGUGCCAGCAGCCGCGGUAAUUCCAGCUCCAAUAGCGUAUAUUAAAGUUGUUGCAGUUAAAAAGCUCGUAGUUGAAUUUCGGGAUCAAUUUAUUGGUCGUGCUAUUGUACGUACUGGUAUUAUUGAUUUCUACCUUCUGACGAACCAUGAUGUCAUUAAUGUGGUGUCUUGGGGAAUCAGGACUGUUACUUUGAAAAAAUUAGGGUGUUUAAAGCAGGCUCACGCUUGAAUACAUUAGCAUGGAAUAACGAAAUAGGACGUUUGAUUCUAUUUUGUUGGUUUCUAGGAUCGACGUAAUGAUUAAUAGGGAUAGUUGGGGGCAUUAGUAUUCAAUUGUCAGAGGUGAAAUUCUUGGAUUUAUUGAAGACUAACUACUGCGAAAGCAUUUGCCAAGGAUGUUUUCAUUAAUCAAGAACGAAAGUUAGGGGAUCGAAGACGAUCAGAUACCGUCGUAGUCUUAACCAUAAACUAUGCCGACUAGGGAUCGGAUGAUGUUAAUUUUUUAAUGACUCAUUCGGCGCCUUACGGGAAAC